rnacentral:rRNA from 1 species
GACGAACGCUGGCGGCGUGCUUAACACAUGCAAGUCGAACGGAAAGGCCCUGCUUUUGUGGGGUGCUCGAGUGGCGAACGGGUGAGUAAAACGUGAGUAACCUGCCCUUGACUUUGGGAUAACUUCAGGAAACUGGGGCUAAUACCGGAGAGGAGCUCCUGCUGCAUGGGGGGCGUUGGAAAGUUUCGGCGGUUGGGGGUGGACUGGCGGGUUAUUCGCUUGUUGGUGGGGUAGUGGAUGACCAAGGCUUUGACGGGUAGCCGGCCUGGGAGGGGGACCGGCCACCUGGGUCCUGAGAUAGGGCCCAGACGCGUACGUGCGGCAGUGGGGGGAAGUAUGGCACAGUGAGCGGAAGCCUGAUACAGCAGCGCCGCGUGCGGGAAGACGUCCUUCGGGUUGUAAACCGCUUUCGCCUGUGACGAAGCGUGAGUGACGGUAAUGGGUAAAGAAGCACCGGCUAACUACGUG